rnacentral:rRNA from 1 species
UACGUAGGGGGCGAGCGUUGUCCGGAUUCAUUGGGCGUAAAGCGCGCGUAGGCGGCUCCGCAAGUCGGCCGUGAAAUCUCCGGGCUCAACUCGGAGGGGUCGGGCGAGACUGCGAGGCUCGAGGUGGGCAGAGGGCAGUGGAAUUCCGGGUGUAGUGGUGGGAACGCGUAGAGAUCCGGAGGAACACCAGUGGCGAAGGCGGCUGCCUGGGCCUGGCCUGACGCUGAGGCGCGAAAGCGUGGGGAGCAAUCGG